rnacentral:RNase_P_RNA from 2 species
AGGGACGGCCGGGGGGUCGCUCGCCGCGAGGCGGGAGGAACUUCCGGACUCCGUCGAGCACGACGCCCGUCGAAAGGCGGGGAGGCGGGGACCAGAGUCCCCGUCGACGGACAGUACCACAGAAAAUAACCGCCCUCGCAAGAGGGUAAGGGUGAAAAGGUGGGGUAAGAGCCCACCGCGCGCUCCGCGAGGAGCGCGGCAUCGGCAAACCCCGUCGGGAGCAAGGCAGUUGGGCGGCGCGCGCUGCUCGCGCACGCCCGGGCGCAAGCCCGGGGCAGCCGCCCGGUGGCCGCAUAGAGAAAUGAUCCUCCAGUCCCGCAAGGGAUGGACAGAAUCCGGGGUACAGGCCGUCCCUGAAU